UUCUGACCGUAAACGAUACCAUCUAGCGAUCCGGUGGUGGUUUUACCGCCUUGCCGGGGAGCUUCCCGGAAACGAAAGACUUCCGGUUCCGGGGGUAGUAUGGUUGCAAAGCUGAAACUUAAAGGAAUUGACGGAAUCGCACCACCAGGAGUGGAGCCUGCGGCUUAAUUUGACUCAACACGGGAAAACUCACCCGGCCCGGACACUGUAAGGAUUGACAGACUGAGAGCUCUUUCUUGAUUCGGUGGUUGGUGGUGCAUGGCCGUUCUUAGUUGGUGGAGCGAUUUGUCUGGUUUAUUCCGAUAACGAGCGAGACGCACCCCUACUUAAUACACCGUGAAUAAUUUCGUUCACAGGUGUUCUUAGAGGAAUUGGCGGUAUCGAGCCGCACGAAAGUGCGCAAUAACAGGUCUGUGAUGCCCUUAGAUGUUCGGGGCUGCACGCGUGCUACACUGGAGUCUGCAACGUGCUCCAUGGCCGAAGGGUCACUGGUAAACCGUUGAAAAGAUUCCGUGAUCGGGAUAGGGAAUUGCAAUUAUUUCCCUUGAACGAGGAAUUCCUAGUAAGUGUGAGUCAUCAUCUCGCUCUU
rnacentral:rRNA from 2 species